rnacentral:tRNA from 1 species
GCCGGUGUAGCUCAGCUGACUAGAGCAGCUGAUUUGUAAUCAGCAGGUCGUGGGUUCGAGUCCCUCCAUCGGCU